rnacentral:tRNA from 1 species
CGGCGCUUAUGGUCGGGGUUACGCUCCUGGGCGUUCGCGCCGUCCUCGGCGGGUUUGGGGGCCGCCUGCGGUGCGCGUUCCUGCCGCGGUUGCGCUGGC